UGGGAUGUUUUUCCACUUAUUUGUGCAUCUCUGGUUUCUUUGAGCAGUGGUCUGUAGUUCUCCUUGUGGAAAUCUUUCACCUCUCCUUGGUUAGCUGUAUUCCUAGGUAUUUCAUUUUCUUUGUGGCUAUUGCAAAUGGGGUUGUGUUCUUAAUUUAACUCUCAGCUUGAAUACUAUUGAUGUUUAGAAAUGCCACUAGUUUUGUAUAUUGAUUUUGUAUCCUGAAACCUUACUAAAACUGUUUUUCUAGUAACCUUUUGUCAGAGUCUUUAGGGUUUCUGCAUUUUAAAAUGAGCAUUCUGGCUACCGCAGGAAGAUAAGAAUGAGCUAGUUAGGAGGCUUUGGCAAUAGUCCUUGAGAUAUAUAGUAUGGCGUGGCCUAAAGAUGAUGAGAAGUGAUCAGAUUUAGGAAACGCUGUAAAGGUACAGCCAAUACAUCUAUCUGAUGUAAAAUAGAAAAAUAAAGGAAGUAGUCAUUAUUCUAAGGUUUUGGAGCAACUGGGUGAAUGAUAGCACAAUUUAAUGUGAUGGGAGAUAAUAGAUUUUGGGGGUGGGUGGAAUUAAGAAUUUACUUUUGGAGAACCGAGCGGAGCUGGUUGAGCUUUCAGACGUGCGAUCGUGGGUUCGGUGUUUAAUGAUUGAGUUCUGCAAGAGCGGGAGCCUCUGCAGAGAGCGAGCACGAGAGAUGGAGAUGGGCAAAUGGAUUCAUUUAGAGCUGCGGAACAGGACGCCCUCUGAUGUGAAAGAACUUGUCCUGGACAACAGUAGGUCGAAUGAAGGCAAAUUGGAAGGCCUCACAGAUGAAUUUGAAGAACUGGAAUUCUUAAGUACAAUCAACGUACGCCUCACCUCAAUUACAAACUUGCCACAGUUAAGCAAAUUUAAGAAGCUUGAACUAAGCGGUAACAGAGUCUCAGGGGGCCUAGAAGUAUUGGCAGAAAAGUGUCCAAACCUCACGCAUCUAAAUUUAAGUGGCAACAAAAUUAAAGACCUCAGCACAAUAGAGCCCCUGAAAAAGUUAGAAAACCUCAAGAGCUUAGACUUUUUCAAUUGCGAGGUAACCAACCUGAAGGACUACUGAGAAAAGGUGUUCAAGCUCCUCCCGCAACUCAUAUCUCGACGGCUAUGACCCGGACGACAAGGAGGCCUCUAACUCGGAUGCUGAGGGCUACGUGGAGUGCCUGGAUGACGAGGAGGAGGAUGAGGAUGAGGAGGAGUAUGAUGAAGAUGCUCAGGUAAUGGAAGACUAGGAGGACGAGGAGGAGGAGGAAGGUGAGGAGGAGGAAGGUGAAGAGGAGGACGUGAGUGGAGGAGUAGAUGAAGGUUAUAACGAUGGAGAGGUAGAUGACGAGGAAUAUGAAGAAGAGCUUGGUGAAGAAGAAGGGGGUCAGAAGCGAAAACGAGAAACUGAAGAUGAGGGAGAAGGUGAUGACUAAGUGGAAUAACCUAUUUUGAAAAAUUCCUCUUGUGAUUUGACUGUUUUUGCCCAUAUCCCCUCCCCCGCUCCAAUCCUGCCCCCUGAGACUUAUUUUUUUCUGAUUGUAACGUUGCUGUGGAAACUAGAGAGGAAAAGCGUACUGGGGGUUGUGAGGAGAGGAAGGGCGGAAGGGGGUGGAAUAAAAUACCAUUUUUACUGCCACUCUUUAUUUUUCCCCCUACUUUUUCUUUGUGUCCGGUUUUUGUCCCUGUAAAUGCAAUAGCUAAGUACACACUAAGCAUUUGUUCCUGGCUCUCAAAGAAGAUGGUUUGGAGUUCUCUUACGUUUCCUGGUAUUUCCCAAGUCUCUUGGGUUGGGUGGAAGGCUGCGGCUGGUCUCAGUUUGGUUACUCAAUGCCCAGGAGGGGCUGAGCACCAGCCAUAUCUUUUGCUUUGAUUCACAUGAUACCUGCUUUUCUCGGGCCUGCUAGAGGCAUCCAACACCCUGGUUUGUAAAUAGCAACCUAAAGGCGUAUUUUGGCACUGGUUUGGCAACAUUCCCCAUCUCUCAUCCAUUUUCCCCCUUCACAGAUGAUGGUGGGCUUCGCUCUACAAAGGGGACUCAGAUGUUACUCCUGAGAGCUUAAGAGCCAGACAGCUGAAAACGGCAGGCUUGUGAGUUGCAAGGAAAAUGGAUUUGGUAAUAACUAAAAGAAACCCUCAAACUUCAACUUCUUUAAAAGAAAAAAAAAACUGUCCUAUCUUGUUCUGUAAAAUAUUAGAACGCUUUGUUUUACAAAAAUGGCGAGAGAAUUCUUCCACAUAUACUUCUGCACUUAGAACAUUUUUACAGACCUAAGUGCUGGAGACGUUGCUACACGUCAGCCGGGCUUUUUUUUUUUUU